AUACGUAGGGUGCGAGCGUUGUCCGGAAUUACUGGGCGUAAAGAGCUCGUAGGUGGUUUGUCGCGUCGUCUGUGAAAUUCCGGGGCUUAACUCCGGGCGUGCAGGCGAUACGGGCAUAACUUGAGUACUGUAGGGGAGACUGGAAUUCCUGGUGUAGCGGUGAAAUGGGCAGAUAUCAGGAGGAACACCGGUGGCGAAGGCGGGUCUCUGGGCAGUAACUGACGCUGAGGAGCGAAAGCAUGGGUAGCGAACAGGAUUAGAUACCCUGGUAGUCCAUGCCGUAAACGGUGGGCGCUAGGUGUAGGGGUCUUCCACGACUUCUGUGCCGUAGCUAACGCAUUAAGCGCCCCGCCUGGGGAGUACGGCCGCAAGGCUAAAACUCAAAGGAAUUGACGGGG
rnacentral:rRNA from 1 species